rnacentral:rRNA from 1 species
UACGUAGGGGGCAAGCGUUGUCCGGAUUUAUUGGGCGUAAAGCGCUCGCAGGCGGCUCGAUGCGUCGUGCGUGAAACACCCCGGCUCAACUGGGGAGGGUCGUGCGAUACGGUCGGGCUGGAGGCCAGUAGGGGGAUGCGAAAUUCCGGGUGUAGUGGUGGAAUGCGUAGAGAUCCGGAGGAACACCAGCGGCGAAGGCGGCAUCCUGGACUGGUCCUGACGCUCAGGAGCGAAAGCGUGGGGAGCGAGCCGG